AGUGAAGUGUCUGAAAAAGAGUAACUUUGAUAGAGUUAAGCAUGUGGGCUGGCCCUACCUUCACUA
rnacentral:tRNA from 1 species